GAUGAACGCUGGCGGCGUGCUUAACACAUGCAAGUCGAACGAGAAGUGGAGACGGAAACCUUCGGGCGGAAGACUUUAUUUCGAGUGGCGGACGGGUGAGUAACGCGUGGGUAACCUGCCUCAUACAGGGGGAUAACAGUUGGAAACGACUGUUAAUACCGCAUAAGACCACAGCACCGCAUGGUGCGGGGGUAAAAACUCCGGUGGUAUGAGAUGGACCCGCGUUCGAUUAGCCAGUUGGCGGGGUAACGGCCCACCAAAGCGACGAUCGAUAGCCGAUCUGAGAGGAUGACCGGCCACAUUGGGACUGAGACACGGCCCAAACUCCUACGGGAGGCAGCAGUGGGGAAUAUUGCACAAUGGGGGAAACCCUGAUGCAGCGACGCCGCGUGAGUGAAGAAGUAUUUCGGUAUGUAAAGCUCUAUCAGCAGGGAAGAAAAUGACGGUACCUGAGUAAGAAGCCCUGGCUAACUACGUG
rnacentral:rRNA from 1 species